CCCAUCUUUCUUUUUUAAUUUUUGUUUUUAAUUUCAGUUUAUUUUGAAUUUAAUUUAUUUUCUGUAUGUCAAAAUGUCAGAAAACAUAUGAUUGUGGCAGAAGAGCUUAAAGCUUUCGGUGUGUUCAAUGCAAUCCAUUGUAGUACAUUUUACAACACCACAAAAUUUCAAUGGUUUCUAAAACUCUAUUGUGGUACGGAACACCAUUUGCUUUCAAACAAAAUUCGUAAAACCGGUGAUACACAUACAAAUGUAUGGUUUCUGUAGCAAACUACAAUAUGUACUGCAUGUCUGUCUCUGGUAUAAGACAUUUAAAAACUCGGAUCUGACUGAGCAGUAACUCAUAUUCUUUCAGAUUAAAUCCUUCUAUAUGAUUUCCAUACCUUAGAAUAUUGCUAUUGAAAAUUUUGGGUAGAUACUAUUUACCGUUAUUGGAAAAUCUACAAAACAAAAGGUAAAACACAUAAAGAAAGUAUUUUCCGGAGAGAGUUCUCAUAUUAUUGGCGUUUGCCAGUCGCAAGGAUUCCGAUCCCCUCUCUAGGCUAUCGACUUCGAAUAAAAACAAUUACCAUGAAAGGUUUUAAAAUGCAGCGAACAUUUAUUUUCAGUCAACACUUCGAGAAUUUCGGGCAUGAAAAGCACAUAAGUUGGGAGGCGCCUUAAAGUUUGUUGGACUCUUCAAUUUUAACUUCAUAGAACAAGAAUAAACAAGAAAAGAGGUAAAUAUUAUUAUUUGCUUUGGUUUUGAAUAUGGUAUGGUGAAAGUAAAUACUUGAAAUAACUUGUGAAGCAAAAAAGUACACACAUGACAAUACACAUAACUGUAAACAAAGCCAAAGGAUCGGAUACAAACAAUUGGUGUGCUCAACUGCUCACAAUUCACUGCACUUGAAAUUAUAUGCAUAUAUGUAUUGUAUAUGUAUGUAAAUGAUAAUAAAUAUGUAUGUGUGAGUACACUUAUUUGCUCGUGCACAGCUAUUUAUUUAAAUGAAAUUUAAAGAUGUACCGUGAGAGCUGUUUGUUUUUCCAGCCAUGUCAGUGCUAGUGCAUGCUUCAGCAAAUCUCACAUCUGUCACUUAGAAUUGUAUGCUUAACCGGUUAAAAGUCCUUGAAAAUUUUGACGGGUGAUUUCUUCUAUUUUGCAAUAUAUUAACUGAAGUGGCAACGUUACCCAGUAAAAAAUCUUUGGAUUAAAACCAAAAUCGAGUAAUAAAGGAGUAAUUACUUGUUCAUCCAUUUCGAGCAUUAAUCUGAAUUUUGUAAUCAACGCGUGAACAUUAUUGUAGUAUCGUGAAUAUAAUCAGAUAAAAAGUGGUCAACUGUCGCGAAUAUAUACAGGUAAAAAGUGAUAA